rnacentral:rRNA from 1 species
GGAAACCCACCUGAAAACGAGUAUUCCCUAUCAGAGCCGUGGAAGACGACCACGUUGAUAGGACGGGUGUGGAAGUGUAGUAAUGCAUGAAGCUUACCGUUACUAAUAGCUCGAUUGGCUUGAUCGUUCUCAUU